AGUUUGCCGUACGAAACGUAAAUGUACCUCCACCACUCCUAAACCAAAUUCAAUCUGACUCACAUCAUGAAUCAAACUCCACUCACAAAUAAGUGCGCACUAUCAACAACAAGCCAAUAAAUUGAAAAGCAAAUUCGGUCAUGCUUUUUCAUGGUUAUUAAUUAAAACCUAUAUAUGUUUCAUUCAUUCAGGUGAAAUGAGAGUCAAAACAACAGAUACAGAAGAAAAAUGGAAAUUGAAGAGACACCAUACAUUGGAUUCCCAUUGGGUUUAGCUCUUCUUGUUUUCUUGUUAUUCUUCAUUUGUUGUUUCUUUUGUUGUUGUUUAUAUUGGGACAAACUCCAAUUUUUAUUUCCAUCUUCUGUGGUUAAUGUUAUUAUCAACCCACAACCUCGUAUACAACCAGAAUUUGCUUCCUCUCACCACAAACCAGGAUUUCCUGUUUUGAUGAUGAAGGAGAAUCAUGAUCAAAGCUUGCCUGUGUUGAUGCCAGGAGAUAUGGUUCCAAAAUUCAUAGCUUUGGCAUGCCCAUGUAAGGCUGGCUCCAACGGAUGAAAAAAAAAUCACAAUCCAUGUGCAGCAGAAUGAAUAAUUUAUGUGUUGAUAGGGUGGGUUGGGCUCUGUUCUGUAUAGUCUCUUUUGAUUCAGGUGUUGAUAUUUUUUCCCGUAGUUUCCUAAACAGCACAAAUGAAAUUAUAUACUCAAAUUAGGGGGGUUAAUUAUUAAUACUACCACUUUUCUUUUCUUUUUCUUCGUAGCCUAUAUUUUUUUGAAAGUUUAUUUUUACAAGUGUUAGUUUUUAAGAUACAUUUUACUCUCUAAAAAUGAACUUUGACAA